GACGAACGCUGGCGGCGUGCUUAACACAUGCAAGUCGAACGGAAAGGCCCCCACCUUGGUGGGGGUGCUCGAGUGGCGAACGGGUGAGUAACACGUGGGUGAUCUGCCCUGUACUUCGGGAUAAGCUUGGGAAACUGGGUCUAAUACCGGAUAGGACCAUGGUUUAGUGUCUCAUGGUGGAAAAAUUAUUGUUUUGGUGCAGGAUGAGCUCGCGGCCUAUCAGCUUGUUGGUGGGGUAAUGGCCUACCAAGGCGUCGACGGGUAGCCGGCCUGAGAGGGUGGACGGCCACAUGGGGACUGGGAUACGGCCCAGACUCCUACGGGAGGCAGCAGUGGGGAAUAUUGCACAAUGGGCGCAAGCCUGAUGCAGCGACGCCGCGUGGGGGAUGACGGCCUUCGGGUUGUAAACUCCUUUCGUUAGGGACGAAGCCACACCUUUUUUGGGUGUGGUGACGGUACCUUUGUGAAGAAGCACCGGCUAACUACGUG
rnacentral:rRNA from 1 species